rnacentral:rRNA from 1 species
UACGUAGGAUCCAAGCGUUGUCCGGAUUUACUGGGUGUAAAGGGUGCGCAGGCGGACCAAUAAGUCAGGAGUGACAUCUCGGCGCUCAACGCCGAAACGUCUUUUGAUACUGUUGGUCUUGAAUAAGCGAGAGAUUCGUGGAAUUCCGAGUGUAGCAGUGAAAUUCGUAGAUAUUCGGAAGAACACCAGUGGCGAAGGCGACUCGCUGGACAAGUAUUGACGCUGAGGUGCGAAAACGUGGGGAGCAAACAGG